rnacentral:misc_RNA from 1 species
GAUGAAGAACGUAGUGAAAUGCGAUAAGUAGUGUGAAUUGCAGAAUUCAGUGAAUCAUCGAAUCUUUGAACGCACAUUGCGCCCCUUGGUAUUCCAUGGGGCAUGCCUGUUUGAGCGUCAUUUGUACCUUCAAGCCUUGCUUGGUGUUGGGUGUUUGUCUCGCCUCUGCGCGCAGACUCGCCUCAAAACAAUUGGCAGCCGGCGUAUUGAUUUCGGAGCGCAGUACAUCUCGCGCUUUGCACUCAGAACGACGACGUCCAAAAGUACAUUUUUACACUCUUGACCUCGGAUCAGGUAGGGAUACCCGCUGAACUUAAGCAUAUCAAUAAGCGGAGGA